UGCUUCCACAUGGACUCCCGUUUAUCCCUAGCCUGGCAAGCCAGCCUCGCCUCCUCCAACCAUUAAAAAAAAAGUGAUCUAGACGUGGCGAGUGUUAAAGAGAUCAGAGACGAGAGUUUGAACUUGGCGCGGCUGGAGGAGGGUUGGCAGGCUGCCACCAGUUGGCGCUGGUGUCGCUCCCGAGUGUAAACAGUGGUGGAAACAUGGACUCCAGUUCUCGUAGUGACAACCUUAGCUCGAACUGCUCUCAUUCCUCCCCGUUAGACAGUGCUAAUAACAAUACGAUGCAGAAUGGGACUGCUAGCCCCUCGGGCGACUCAGAGGAUGCGGAAGAUUUGGAAAGUGUCGAUGUUGGUGGGGUGAACAGGACCUCAGUGAGUGGUGCGAUCCCCGUCGGUAGUGUUGGUAAUAUUACUGUCACAUCAGCUGACACGGACAACAAUGCGAACUCGGGUGUUACCGUCCAGAAUGACGCCGACGUGGACAAAGAACUCGAAGAACUUGCCAAACUCAGAUGCCAAAGUGUAGCCACGGAGGUGGUAGCGGCGAGAUACAAGCGCCGAUGCUCAGACUACCCAGGGUUCGCCUUCGGGUCUUCCAUUUUCAGCUCCAAUACCAUGAUGAAGUUUAGCAUUAUCAAGAAUGAACUGCACAACAUCAUGAAUGUGCAGUUGAAAAGGGCUGAGGGUGAGGUGGCUGCUCUUAACCGCCGCAUCCAGCUGCUGGAGGAAGACCUGGAGCGCUCUGAGGAGCGCCUCAACACUGCCACCACCAAAUUGGCGGAGGCUUCACAGGCCGCCGACGAGUCAGAGCGAGCCCGCAAGUGCCUGGAAAACCGAGCGAACAUGGAAGAUGAUCGUGUGGGCAUCUUGGAGACCCAGCUAGCACAGGCAAAACAUAUUGCCGAGGAGGCAGAUAAGAAAUACGAAGAGCUGGCCCGCAAGUGCGUCAUGUUGGAGAACGACCUGGAGAGGGCCGAGGAAAGAGCAGAAGCUGCCGAGGGGUGAGUACUGGGGUGUCGUCGGCUUACUACUGGGUAGUAACCGUGACAACCCAAAUAACACUAGAAACUGCAGAGGAUGAAUUACAAUAACGUGGCUGAAGAUAUGAUGGCCGAACUACACACCAGAACACGAAGAAACGACGUCGUUUCGGUCAGUCCUGGACCAUUACAUAAAACUUGAUAAUGGUCCAGGACGGACCGAAACGUCGUUCCUUCAUCUUCUGGUGUGUUUGGUCACAUACUAGAAACUGGUAUGCAUUAAGUUACUUUUUGAUAGUCAAUAAAUAGCUGCGGCUUCGUAUGGGCUAAUAGGCCUUCUACAGUUUCCUUAAUAUUUGUUCUUUGAAACAAUAUUUUAAGAUUUAAUAAUUAAUGUAUCAUUUGUAUUCAGUAAUACCUUUGUUCAAAUCUGAAUAUACUUACUAAAUUAUUGCACACGGUAAAGAAAGGAAGGUAGUCAUUUUGUUAUUUAAAGAUUUCAUAUAUACAUAUACCGUAGAUGGUGUUGGCAUUAGUCUAAUUACCUUCCCUGUGACUUGCAGUAAGAUCGUCGAGCUUGAGGAGGAACUGCGUGUCGUUGGCAACAACUUGAAGUCUCUUGAGGUGUCCGAAGAGAAGG
rnacentral:misc_RNA from 1 species